UGGACUUAACAAUCAGAAGUGGAAAAUGCAAUUGGUAAUAUAUUUUGUUAUCCUGUUGGGGCUUUCCUCAUAUGCGUUGGCACAAUCUGAUCACAAUGUAGUAAAGAAGGAUGACCCAAAGAAGGGUUAAAAUUGAUAAAGUAUCAAUAAAGAGAAUGCAUUAAAAAUUGAAGCAUAA